rnacentral:rRNA from 1 species
UUGGGCGCUAGACGUGGGGGUGGUUCCACCGCUUCCGUGUCGCAGCUAACGCAUUAAGCGCCCCGCCUGGGGAGUACGGCCGCAAGGCUAAAACUCAAAGGAAUUGACGGGGGCCCGCACAAGCGGCGGAGCAUGCGGAUUAAUUCAAUGCAACGCGAAGAACCUUACCAAGGCUUGAUAUAUACCGGAAAGGCGUAGAGAUACGCCCCCCGCAAGGUCGGUAUACAGGUGGUGCACGGUUGUCGUCAGCUCGUGUCGUGAGAUGUUGGGUUAAGUCCCGCAACGAGCGCAACCCUCGUCCUGUGUUGCCAGCGCGUAAUGGCGGGGACUCACAGGAGACUGCCGGGGUCAACUCGGAGGAAGGUGGGGAUGACGUCAAAUCAUCAUGCCCUUCGGUCUUGGGCUUCACGCGUGCUACAAUGGCUGGUACAGAGGGUUGCAAUAUCGCAAGGUGGAGCGAAUCUCAAAAAGCCAGUCUCAGUUCGGAUUGGGGUCUGCAACUCGACCCCAUGAAGUCGGAGUCGCUAGUAAUCGCAGAUCAGCAAUGCUGCGGUGAUCCUUUUCCCGGGCCUAA